rnacentral:tRNA from 1 species
GGGAACGUGGCUCAGUGGUAGAGUGCUUGCCUAGCAUGCAUGAGGCCCUGGGUUCGAUUCCUCAGUACCA